rnacentral:rRNA from 1 species
CGCGUAGGCGGUUUGUUAAGUUGGAUGUGAAAGCCCCGGGCUCAACCUGGGAAUUGCACCCGAUACUGGCCGACUAGAGUACGAGAGAGGGAGGUAGAAUUCCACGUGUAGCGGUGAAAUGCGUAGAUAUGUGGAGGAAUACCGGUGGCGAAGGCGGCCUCCUGGCUCGAUACUGACGCUGAGGUGCGAAAGCGUGGGGAGCGAAACA